rnacentral:tRNA from 1 species
GCGGGUAUAGCUCAGUGGUAGAGCGCAUGAUUAGCAUUCAUGAGGUCCUCAAUUCAAUCCCCAGUAUCUCCA